rnacentral:rRNA from 1 species
GGUAACGGCUACCGUAGAGAUUGAUCGUGGAUCAGGAACUCGUAACAAGGUAACCGUAAGAGGUGAAAGUGGCGGAGGGGUGAGUAAUGUCGGGGAAACUGCCUGAUGGAGGGGGAUAACUACUGGAAACGGUAGCUAAUACCGCAUAACGUCUUCGGACCAAAGUGGGGGACCUUCGGGCCUCACGCCAUCAGAUGUGCCCAGAUGGGAUUAGCUAGUAGGUGGGGUAAUGGCUCACCUAGGCGACGAUCCCUAGCUGGUCUGAGAGGAUGACCAGCCACACUGGAACUGAGACACGGUCCAGACUCCUACGGGAGGCAGCAGUGGGGAAUAUUGCACAAUGGGCGCAAGCCUGAUGCAGCCAUGCCGCGUGUGUGAAGAAGGCCUUCGGGUUGUAAAGCACUUUCAGCGAGGAGGAAGGGUUCAGUGUUAAUAGCACUGUUCAUUGACGUUACUCGCAGAAGAAGCACCGGCUAACUCCGUGCCAGCAGCCGCGGUAAUACGGAGGGUGCAAGCGUUAAUCGGAAUUACUGGGCGUAAAGCGCACGCAGGCGGUUUGUUAAGUCAGAUGUGAAAUCCCCGCGCUUAACGUGGGAACUGCAUUUGAAACUGGCAAGCUAGAGUCUUGUAGAGGGGGGUAGAAUUCCAGGUGUAGCGGUGAAAUGCGUAGAGAUCUGGAGGAAUACCGGUGGCGAAGGCGGCCCCCUGGACAAAGACUGACGCUCAGGUGCGAAAGCGUGGGGAGCAAACAGGAUUAGAUACCCUGGUAGUCCACGCUGUAAACGAUGUCGACUUGGAGGUUGUGCCCUUGAGGCGUGGCUUCCGGAGCUAACGCGUUAAGUCGACCGCCUGGGGAGUACGGCCGCAAGGUUAAAACUCAGAUGAAUUGACGGGGGCCCGCACAAGCGGUGGAGCAUGUGGUUUAAUUCGAUGCAACGCGAAGAACCUUACCUACUCUUGACAUCCAGAGAAUUCGCUAGAGAUAGCUUAGUGCCUUCGGGAACUCUGAGACAGGUGCUGCAUGGCUGUCGUCAGCUCGUGUUGUGAAAUGUUGGGUUAAGUCCCGCAACGAGCGCAACCCUUAUCCUUUGUUGCA